rnacentral:rRNA from 1 species
UAGGGAAUCUUCCGCAAUGGACGAAAGUCUGACGGAGCGACGCCGCGUGAGCGAAGAAGGUCUUCGGAUCGUAAAGCUCUGUUGUUAGGGAAGAAGAAGUGCCGUUCGAACAGGGCGGCGCGGUGACGGUACCUAACGAGAAAGCCCCGGCUAACUACGUGCCAGCAGCCGCGGUAAUACGUAGGGGGCGAGCGUUGUCCGGAAUUAUUGGGCGUAACGCGCGCGCAGGCGGUCCCUUAAGUCUGAUGUGAAAGCCCACGGCUUAACCGUGGAGGGUCAUUGGAAACUGGGGGACUUGAGUGCAGAAGAGGGGGGCGGAAUUCCACGGGUAGCGGGGAAAUGCGUAAGGAUGUGGGGGAACACCAGGGGCGAAGGCGGCUCUCUGGUCUGUAACUGACGCUGGGGCGGGAAGGCGUGGGGAGCAAACAGG